rnacentral:ncRNA from 1 species
AGUACGGGUUUGAUAUGAUUGAUUAAAAGGGAAUCAGGUGAAAGUCCUGAGCUAUCCUGUAGCUGUAUUAGAUGAAUCUAAUUUAUAUGAGCCACUUGGAAACUGGGAAGGCGUAUUUUAGAUGAUGAAUCUUAAGUCAGAAGACCUGCCUGUGCUU